AGGACCAGGAGGCAGAGUUCAGGGGACCCGAGGAAGCAUGUGAGCCCCUUUAGGAUCUGCAAAGUUGUGGAGGCUGAGCUUGAACUUGCCUUGAAUAUCCCCCUGCCUCAGCCUCCUGAGAAGCUGGGAUUAUAGAUCUGUGCCACCCGGCCCAGAAGGAAAAGGCUUUUUGAUGACCACGUAUUUGCAUGUUUCCUUCCAAGUCCUGAGGUCCUGGGGCUCAUGAAUAAUAUCCCCUAUGUCUGGGAAGGGGAAGACAUUUCCUCGUGGGAAACCAAAGCUCACUCCCAGGCUCCACCUUUGCCCAAGUCUACCCAUCAGUUCUUUAGAGAUCAUCAAAAGGACCCUCCCCUAGAUGGGCCUCCACCACCUGGACCCACAGAGAAGGGAUGGAGAAACGAGAAGGAAGCAGCGCGGGGCUAGGUUUCCUUUGAAAUCCUGGUUUGUGCCAAGGAAAAAGAAGAAAUGGAUACCUCACUGGAUUCUGGGCUCCUUCACCCAGAAUGCUAGCAACAUUUCCACAGCUUUAGCUCUACACUUCUCAUCCUGGCUUCUAGUCUCAGUUCUGACACUAAUUUUCUCUGUGAAUUA